rfam:Firmicutes bacterium CAG:129_59_24 Ley3_66761_scaffold_792, whole genome shotgun sequence.
CGGGAAGAUAGAGGCGCGGCUGACAAAAGUAGCGCGUUCGCACCGGCACAGGAAGCCGGAGCGCGCGAAAGGGGAUGCCGCCGAAGUGGAAACGGUUCCUGUGCCGUUUGCCGCUGGUUCGUCGGAGAACAUCCGCCGGACUGUCACGUAUGUGGAGCGCUAUCGAGGUC